ACAAUUAAAUAAAACUUCCAGUUCUCGCCUGGUUUCUCACAGACACUAAGCAGGGUUGAGCCUGGGUAGCACCUGGGUGGGAGACCUCCUGUGGAAAACUAAGGUUGCUGAUGGAA
rnacentral:rRNA from 1 species